UCUGAUUAUAUUUCACAAUGUCAGGGCACUGGGGCAUGUCCGAAUAGUGUUUGGGGCAAAGUAUGUUUUUAAAUAGGUACCCAGGCAUGUCUCUCUCUCCUCUCUCACACACACAUACACAUUGUGUACGUGGAGGGGGAACAGUGUGACACUUCCGUCCCUCGCCUGAGCAUGAUAAAUAAAUAUUGCCUUACUAAGAGACAGAUACACCACGCGAAGACUCCUCAAGGGUGGUUUUCCAGGAAAAGAAAAAACAAAACAACAACAACCAAAAACCUUCUAGAAGUUAUCAGGAGGCUUUCCUCAGAACUAUUUUAGUCACUGAAGGAAGAAAGUCUGAAGCAGAGGCUUCCCCCAACUCCAAGAAAACGUGUCAGAGAAGAAAUGAGUGCAUUCUACAGACUAGCAACCCGUAGACGCUGAUACGGUCCUCAGGAACCCCUGUAGAAACAGAAUCCCAGCUAAUGCAAAACCUCCUUACCCACUGUCAACCCUCUCUGCAGAGGUUAAACCAAAAUUCCAAUCUACUCGUCUUUCUCCUCCUCACCAUGUUCAACAUAUCUCCCCAGCCCUGUCCUGUCUUUCCACAAGGCCUAAUUUCUUACAUUGUGCUUCCUCCCUUGAUGGAGUUCCCACAUGUGUUCUCCAAGAGGAAGCCACACACUGAUGGCUGCUGCUUUGAAAAUAAUUUAUGGUUCUAGAGUGGUUCAACCUGCCUCAGACAACACGUGACCUAACAGGAAAGCAGAAUCACAAUGAGAAAUUCAGUCUAAGAAAAUCUGAACCUUUUAGCAACACACGAGAAGGAUUUGGUUUUUCUCUCAUCAAUUCUUGUCCAUGCAGCUCUCACUAAUAAAAUCACCAUGGCCAGGUUGUCACUUGGAACCAUGUCUGUGCUCACAGAAUCUGAAAAUCAUGAAGUCUCCAUCUGGUUUGGACUACUAGCUGUUCAAUGACAGAUGCUAUGUCUAUCUUGCCUUUGCUCCGUAAAGACCACUUUAAAGGAUAAAGAAACCCCUCUAGGUAAAGUGGGUACAGGGCACUCCUUGCUUAUUCUAGAAACAUUCUAAAUACAACAGCUACAUAGGCAGCCUCCAUUCCAGCACCAGACCUUACUGUGUGGUUCCUGAUGUCUAUACAAGGAAGACCAGUGAUAAUUUCCUGGAAUGGUAAAUGUUGAGCUUCGGACCAACCCAACACCUCCAGAACAGGCCUUCAUCAACCCAGCUCAAAAGGGACAGAACAAGAACAUGACUGUCAGUAAGGAGUGAGUCCUCCUGUCUUCCCUACCUCAGUCCCCAGAAACAGCUGGCAUUCCUUAAGGGAGCCCUGCAUGGAUACUCUCUCUUCCAGCAAAGAACCAAAAAGGCAAGAUGAGGGAAGGGGUCAUGGAACUACUAAGUGAAAAAGGCUCUGGCUUCUGGAAUGGGGGAUGAGGGAGUGUAAGACCCAGCACUGGCCAUGCCUCACUUCUUCUCAUGUUCUGUAUAGGGAUAAAUGGCAAAAAUGGGACUUAUCCACAAGCAAGAAAGUUUGAGAGAAACGCUCUCAGUUCCAAUAGCCCAGGGGCUAUACUACUUCACUCUGCUAAUAGGAAGUUGAAAUGACCUUAACUGUGAGUUUGGGGGAGAGACCAGUGCAGGGAACCAGGACCUAUGACCCAGGAACUAGGAAAAGCCACUGGGAGAGAAUGCAUAGCUGGACACUGGACAACAUUUUACCCAUUUCUUGGUUAACUGAUGUAUCUUCUGAGCUAACAUUCAGACCAAGCCAAUGAGGUCCAGGUGGUCCUUCCAAUUCACUCAGUGCCUGACCAGAGGUUGAUCUGCUUAUGCCAGCUCCCUGAUGCUGGCCCUUUUGCUCUCUUCUCGUGUGUUUGUUUUGAUAGUACUUGGGAAUAAAAAAUGGGGAGCAUGAAUAUCCCUCUUUAGUGGUUUUUGUGACACAGGAUCUCCCUAGGUCACCAGGCUGCCUUGAAUUCCUUCUGCAACCCAAGCAAGCUUUAAAUUUAUUAUAAUCCUCCUAGGGUCUCAGCUUCCAGAGCAGGUGGGAUUACAGGCCUGCACCCCAAAUCCUAGCUAGGGCUUCUGCCUUCCAAUCUCACGACCAUGUGUUCUAGUUUCUUUUUUGUUACUAUGAUAAAAUACUUUGAAAAAAGCAUAUUAUGAGGAGAAAGUAGUUUAUUUCUCCUUAAAAUUUCAGGUUUAAAGUCCAUCACAGUAGAAAAACCACAGGGGCAGGAGCUGGGUGGCUAGUCACAUCUGUAGUUGAGAACAGGGAAGGGGUGGGGAUGAGGCACGCAUGCUCACUGGCUUGCCCGUGCUCAGCUCAAUUUCUCUACUCGUAGGUAGUUCAGGAUCUCCUGCCUAGAGAAUGGUGCCACUACAUACCAGAAAGGACAUCCUCACAUAAAUAAAGACCUAUAAUCACAGACAUGCACAGCAGCCAACCCAACGCAGAAAACAAUUGCUCAUUGCGAUUUUCCCCCCAGGGGAUUCUAGGUUAUGUCAAGUUGACAGGAUUUGACCUACUUGGUGACUCUAAGGCACCCUCAGAAGGAAACAAGAGCGUCAGUGAAUGAAAUCCAGAGCAAGGUCUAAAUGCAUUCUCAAAAGCCCUCUCAAAGCUCCUCUACUUACACAGGAAGCUAGCCCCAUGCAAACUGCUGGGCUUCUUGGGAGGGAGACUAUGUCAACAAACACUGACACCCAGCCAAUCUCUCCCUUUGGGGACAACAUGAACUAGGCCAAAGCUUCCAGCCCCAAAAGAAAUAGGCUCCCAGCACAGCUGUAAAACCAUCUGGUUGGGCUCACUCACCUUUCUAAACAGCAACUAAACUGAGAGAAGAAAGCGGCUUCAAUCUGGGGCUUUCUCACCUUCCUUAAGACUGUUUGUGGUUAAAAAAAAUAAAAAUAAAAUCCUAA